rnacentral:rRNA from 1 species
GAGCAGGCAGGCCAUCGGCAACGGUUUGAAGUGCGUGGCUAGAAUGCAUCGAAUGGUGCAGAUUGGCUUCCAUUCGCUUCUCUAAAAUCUCUUCGACCUGAUGCGGAUCGUCAUAGUUCAUAGACGCGGAUCGCAGCGUAUCACAAUCAGAGACGUCGCUUCACUGUCGCUAAGAAUCUUAGGAUAAGCACCAAAUACGC